GGCCGACUAGCUCAGUUGGUUAGAGCGUGGUGCUAAUACACUCACUUUCAAUUGUGUGGCGCAAUUCACCCAAUUGAAAAUGAGGGUUACGCCAAGGUCGUCGGUUCGACCCCGGCGUUGGCCA
rfam:Punctularia strigosozonata HHB-11173 SS5 unplaced genomic scaffold PTNSTscaffold_21, whole genome shotgun sequence.